rnacentral:lncRNA from 1 species
GUGCUGGCCUCAAAGCAGAGGCUCAGAAACUUUUUCUGCUUGCUGAUGCAUCUGAAAUCCCUGUUAACUAGCUGGACUAUUUCCCAGCCCUUCGCCAAGUGCCACCCUUGAGGCAUCUCUGUGUGCUCCACUGGGCACCACAACAUACGGUUCAGACGUUUAAAGCCUGUCUCAGCCCAAUUUCCUCUCCAUUUGCUCCCUGGGUAAGGUAUCCCCCCUUCAGUGCAGGCAGAACUGGCGACUUGCUUCUAAUCAACAAAAUAUGGCAAAGUGGUGGAGUCUAGAAGUCUGAGAUCAGGGCACCAGCCUGGCCGAGUUCUGAUGGCGUCUCGCUUUGUCACCCAGGCUGGAGUGCAGUGGCGCGAUCUCGGUUCACUGCAACAUCUACCUCCCAGGUUCAAGUGAUUCUCCUGCCUUAGCCUCCCGAGUAGCUGGGAUUACAGGCACCCACCACCACAUCCGGCGAAUUUUUUGUAUUUUUAGUAGAGACAGGGUUUCACCAUGUUGGCCAGGAUGGUCUUGAUUUCCUGACCUGGUGAUCUGCCCACCUUGGCCUCCCAAACUGCUGGGAUUGCAGGCGUGAGCCACCGUGCCUGGCCGACCACUGAUCUUUUCACUGUAUCCACAGUGUUGCCUUUUCCAGAAUGUCAUAGAAUUUGAAUCAUACUAUAUGUUGCCCUUUCAGAUGAGUUUCUUUCACUUACUAAUAUUCAUUUGUUUCCUCCAUGUCUUUUGGCUUGAUAAUUCAUUUCUUUUUAUCACUGAAUAAUAUUCCAUUGUCUGAUGUACCACAGUUUAUUUACGCAUUUACCUACUGAAGGAUAUCAGGACAUCUUAGUUGCCUCUGAGUUUUUGGCAAUUAUGAAUAAAACUGCUAUAGAAAGAUGUGUGCAGGUUUUUCUGUGGAUAUAGUUUUCAACUCCUUUGGGUAACUCCAAGGAGUGUGGUCGCUGGAUCAUAUAGUAAGAGUAUGUGUAGUUUUGUAACAAAUAGCCAAAUGUUCUCCAAAGUGGCAUUAGCAUUUUGCUUUCCCACCAGCAAGGAAUAAGAGUUCCUGUUGCUCUGUAUCCUCACCAGCAUUUGGUGGUGUCAGUGUUCUGGAUUUUGGCCAUUGUAAUAAAUGUGUGGUGUUAUCUCAUUGUUGUUUUAAUUUGCAUUUGCCUGAUGACAUACAAUGUGGAACAUCUUUUUAUUGAAGCUAAUGUUUUAAGCCUGGCAAUUUAGUCUCUUCUCUUCCUGUAACCCUGAGCCACUGAGCACAGCUUUCUCCAGAAGCACCUGUGAGUCACUAUACACCACUGCUAUCUCCUGAAUGCUGGAGGCACUGGAGUGGGCCCUUUCAACUUUCAUUUUCUUAUUACCUAGAGAACUUGGCAUUGGUAGAUGCCCAAAAAAUGUAUGUGAGAUGCCUGCACAUUAAAAGACUGGCUGAAAACUUAAGCAGUAUACUGGUUUAGAUCAUUCAUCGCUGUCGGCAAGAGUAAAAAGCUAUGUAGCAGCAU